rnacentral:rRNA from 1 species
UACGUAGGGUGCAAGCGUUGUUCGGAAUCAUUGGGCGUAAAGCGCGUGUAGGUUGUUUUGUAAGUCGGAUGUGAAAGCCCUCGGCUCAACCGGGGAAGUGCAUCCGAAACUACAUAGCUAGAGGACGGUAGAGGAAGGUGGAAUUCCUAGUGUAGAGGUGAAAUUCGUAGAUAUUAGGAGGAAUACCGGCGGCGAAGGCGGCCUUCUGGGCCGUUCCUGACACUGAGACGCGAAAGCGUGGGUAGCAAACAGG